rfam:Hordeum vulgare subsp. vulgare, WGS project CAJW01000000 data, contig: morex_contig_52547
UAUAUACUCCCUCCGUCCCAAAAUUUUUGUCUUAGAUUAGUUUAGAUAUGAAUGUAUCUAGUCAUGUUUUAAUACUUUGAUAUAUCCAUUUCUAGACAAACGUAAGACAAAAAAUUUGGGACGGAGGAAGUAUACG